CUAGNAUAANCACUUUGUACUGUGAAACUGCANGGCUCAUUANAUCAGUUAUAGUUUAUUUGAUGGUAUCUUACUACAUGGAUAACUGUGGUAAUUCUAGAGCUAAUACAUGCAAUCAAGCCCCGACUUCCGGAAGGGGUGUAUUUAUUAGAUAAAAAACCAACGCGGCUCGCCGCUCCCUUGGUGAUUCAUAAUAACUUCUCGAAUCGCAUGGCCUUGUGCCGGCGAUGCUUCAUUCAAAUAUCUGCCCUAUCAACUUUCGAUGGUAGGAUAGUGGCCUACCAUGGUUUCAACGGGUAACGGGAUGNGGGAAAAAUUUNAUUAUAAACUUGGGNUAUAAANCAAAUAUNGGUCNGACGAUUCAUUCGAAUUUCUGCCCCAUCAACUCUCGAUGGUAGGAUAGAGGCCUACCAUGGUCGCAACGGGUAACNGGGAAUA
rnacentral:rRNA from 1 species